rnacentral:sRNA from 1 species
GUCUGCUCAGGUUGCCAUAACAAAGUACCACAGACUCAGUGGCUUCGACAGUGGAGAUGUAAUUUCUCACAGUUCUGGAGGCUAGAAGUCCAAGAUCAAGGUGUCAGGAGGGUUCAUUUCUUCAAAGGCCUCUCUUCUUGGCUUGAAGAUGGUCUUCCCUCUAUAACUAUCUGUGUCUAAAUUUCCUCUUCUUAUAAAGACACCAGUCAUAUGAGACCCAGUACGGUAGCUCACACCUGAAAUCCCAGCGCUUUGGGAGGCCGAGAUAUGAAGCGGCCACUGAGCCCACCCCCACCGGCUGAGAAGGAGACCCCCAUAUCUGGAGCUGCUGAGUGCCUCCCUCGGCCCCCAGAACCACCUAAGCCCAAGAGAGAAAGAAAGCGGCCAUCGUACACGCUCUGUGAUGUCUGCAACAUCCAGCUGAACUCGGCGGCCCAGGCCCAGGUGCACUGUGGGGGGCGGGCCCACCAGAGGCGGCUUCGGCAGCUCAGCUUGGGGAAGAGCCCCUCAGGGCCAGGUCAGUGUGGAGGGACGCUGCUCCCACAAAUUUGGUUUGGGGAGUAUCUCUGUCUAGGCCCCUCUGAGGGGCUCUGGGUCUGUGGCCUCCCUCCAUGGGGGUCUUUGCGUCUGGGGUGCCCUCAAUGGGGUCUUAGGGUCUGAAGCCCCCCCUGAUGCCAGCAAGUUUUAUUCUGCAUCUGGACAACCCUUCUGUAGGACCUCUCGGAAUCUGUGGGUCCUUAGGCUGCCUCUUGGGUCUUUGUUUCUAGGGACUCUCCCUGUGGGAUCUUUUGGGAUCAGGACUCCUAAACAGCACUUCUCCAGCCUGGAGCCUCCUGGUAGCCACAGGCUUUCAGACAAGGGCCUCAUCUGCGGGGUGGGGGUCCCAGGCUCCAGCUCAGGUCUGUGGUCUCUGAAGGCCAAGGUCAGCAAGGUACACAGCACUCCAACCCAGGGACAAGGGGGAGGCCCCUCUUCCUUUGGACUCCCGGCCAGGAUUUCUGCUUCUCCCUAGCUGGGGUGACUUUGCAGAGGUUUGGCUAUGAGCUUGGAAGGGGCAGCUGGCUGCAAGGCAGAUUUCUGGGGGAAAUGGGUGAAUGCCUCCAUGAGGGUGAUUCUAGCUGACAGGUGCACAGGGGCCAUAGGGAAAGUAAGAAUCACCCAGGCUGCUGUUGGCAGAGCAAACAGAUUCACAUUCAGGCUCAGUGUGGGGAGGUGGGAAAGGCAGGAACUUACCCCUGGCUCCUGGGGGAGGCCAACAGAAACCUACCUUGCAGCCCAGGCUGGCAGUUUUGCCGGAGGCUACACUCUGACCUCAGACACCCUCUUGAGGGCUGUCUUCUCUUUUGGUGAUAUUCAUGGGGCACCCACUGUGUCCCCCACUCCACACACACAAUCCUGUAGGCCAGAGACAAGUAAGAUCCAAUCUCUCUGCUUACCACCCUCCCCAAGAUUGAGUGGGUCUUUUGGGUGGAGACACAUGUGAAAAGAGAUAAGGGUUGUGGUUGCCACAUGGGACAUACCCUCAGGGCACAAAGGCAAAGCUGCAGUCCCUGGGGGCAGCAGGAAAGUCUCCUGAAGGAAGAGGGGUCUGAGCCUCGGAACAUGGAUGAGGGGAGUAGGGGCAUUACAGGCAGAGGUCACGGCAUAAGCAAAGGCCAGGGUGCUCUGGUGACUGGGACCAGCUCCUCCCCACCCAAUUAUUUCAGGCUGGACACCAAAAGCAUGACUCUGAGCAAGAGAGUAUCUGACUGAUGGGUGUUUCUGGAGCAUAUGUGUCUGUCUGGAUUCGAAAGUCACUCAUUGGCUGGGCAUGGUGGCUCAUGCCUGUAAUCUUAGCACUUUGGGAGGCUGAGGCAGGUGGGUCACUUAAGGCCAGGAGUUUGAGACCAGCCUGGCCAACAUGGCAAAACCCCAUUUCUACUAAAAAUGCAAAAAUUAGCCGGGUAUGGUGGCACACACCUGUAGUCCCAGCUACUUGGGAGGCUGAGGCAGACGAAUCACUUGAACCCAGGAGGUGGAGGUUGCAGUGAGCCGAGAUUGUGCCACUGCACUCCAGCCUGGGUGACAGAGUGAGACCCUGUCUC